GCGUCUGUAGCUCAGGUGGAUAGAGCAGCGGUUUCCUAAACCGUUGGCUAGNNGUGGUUCGAGUCCUCCCAGGCGCACCA
rnacentral:tRNA from 1 species